rnacentral:lncRNA from 1 species
AUGGCAAGUGAGGUGCUCUACGCCAAGGUGUCGCCCAAGGAAAGAGGGAAUUUUAUUGCAGAAGAUUCAGAUACAGGUGACCAAGUCACAUAUGCUGAGGUGAAUGUGACAUGGAGAUCGGACACACCUGACAGCACACCCAAAACGACACAUUCAGCGGCCUGCUGGGAGAGCUCCCCCUGGUGCUUCGCUGUCUUCGCCCUGUGUUUCUGCGCCGCGGUUCUGCUCCUGGCAGUCAUCCUGCUGGCGGUGAGGUGUUACAGCCGCUGACCCUGCUGCGACGGGAUAAGUCAGCACAGGAAUGUUCUGCUUCAUCGAGAUGGGAUGUAGUGCUCGUAUUAUUUGACAUCAUUUUGGCUGAAGAGACAAAAUGAAAAGAUGCCAUCAGUCUGAUCACUCUCCUGUUAGGUCAUCCCAGGUCUCUGUUAAACCUCUCACCUCUCCAUACAUGGACAAGACAUAUAUUAAUUUUUAUUUGGAAUUUUCUUAAUCCAACUACAUCAGCGCAUGUACCAAGACACGGGCUCAACCUCCUGCAUCAAAAGGUGGAUUUGGGCCUAGGUUAGACAACAAAAAUGAGGUGGAAACAUACUUUUAAUUCACAUCUGACUUGAUUCUGCCCUGAUGUGGAAUGCAGACAAGAUUUUGGAUUAUAUGCAAGUACAAAAACUCAUGGACCAAACAGGGAAUGUGAAAGGUUGCACUGAGCUUUUUUAUAAAGCCUGGGCUUUAUAAACUUGAUUUUUCUUCUUCUGACAGCCUUUAGUUAGAUUUGUAGGAAAGGGAUAUUGAAGGUUCAAGAAAUGUUGUUAGCAGAGAAGUCUCAGUUUCAUCUCCUCAUUGGCUUGAAUUAAAUUAUUCUGCUCCACCUGUCCAGAAGAGCAUCUCACAAUAUACUGUUUCUGUCUCGGGGCAGUAAUUGAUUUUUGUAUUUGUUAGGAUUUUUUUUUUUCCCCACGUGCCAUAGCUUAAGUUAAAUCUGAGUCCUCCACUGGAACUGAAGCACCUGAAGUUCAAAUGCAUUUGUUUGUAAUUAUGACCUUAUUGUCUGUUUUUAUAUUAUGUUUGGAUCUUAUCCAUUUUCUUC